UACCACUCAGGAUCACACCUGGAGAGUUUCCAGUACUCUAUCAGUCUCGGCUAUGAGUGGGAGAGUCAAGCAGGGGCAGACCUAUUCCAUUCCUAGCUUGGGCAGUGGCUAAUGAGUGGGAGGCAAUCUACUACAAGU